UGAACGCUAGCGGCAGGCUAACACAUGCAAGUCGAGGGGCAGCGCGGAGUAGCAAUACUCUGGCGGCGACCGGCGGAAGGUGCGUAACGCGUGAGCAACUUGCCCGCAUCAGGGGGAUAAUCGACUGGAAACGGCGUCUAAUACCCCGUAACUAACAGUGAGCGCAUGCUCGUUGUUUGAAAGCUUAUUGCGGAUGCGGAUGGGCUCGCGUGACAUUAGCUAGUCGGCGGGGUAACGGCCCACCGAGGCGACGAUGUCUAGGGGUUCUGAGAGGAAGGUCCCCCACACUGGAACUGAGACACGGUCCAGACUCCUACGGGAGGCAGCAGUGAGGAAUAUUGGUCAAUGGCCGGAAGGCUGAACCAGCCAUGCCGCGUGCAGGAAUGAGGACCCCCUAUGGGUCGUAAACUGCUUUUGUGGCGGAGCAAUAAGGUGUACGUGUACACCGAUGAGAGUACGUCACGAAUAAGCAUCGGCUAACUCCGUGCCAGCAGCAGC
rnacentral:rRNA from 1 species